GACGAACGCUGGCGGCGUGCUUAACACAUGCAAGUCGAACGGUAAGGCUCCAGCUUGCUGGGGUACACGAGUGGCGAACGGGUGAGUAACACGUGGGUGACCUGCCCUGCACUUCGGGAUAAGCCUGGGAAACUGGGUCUAAUACCGGAUAGGACCGCACCGUGAGGGUGUGGUGGAAAGUUUUUUCGGUGUGGGAUGGGCCCGCGGCCUAUCAGCUUGUUGGUGGGGUAAUGGCCUACCAAGGCGGCGACGGGUAGCCGGCCUGAGAGGGUGGACGGCCACAUUGGGACUGAGACACGGCCCAGACUCCUACGGGAGGCAGCAGUGGGGAAUAUUGCACAAUGGGCGGAAGCCUGAUGCAGCGACGCCGCGUGGGGGAUGACGGCCUUCGGGUUGUACACUCCUUUCACCAUCGACGAAGGGUUUCUGACGGUAGAUGGAGAAGAAGCACCGGCUAACUACGUGCCAGCAGCCGCGGUAAUACGUAGGGUGCGAGCGUUGUCCGGAAUUACUGGGCGUAAAGAGCUCGUAGGUGGUUUGUCGCGUCGUCUGUGAAAUUCCGGGGCUUAACUCCGGGCGUGCAGGCGAUACGGGCAUAACUUGAGUACUGUAGGGGAGACUGGAAUUCCUGGUGUAGCGGUGAAAUGCGCAGAUAUCAGGAGGAACACCGGUGGCGAAGGCGGGUCUCUGGGCAGUAACUGACGCUGAGGAGCGAAAGCAUGGGGAGCGAACAGGAUUAGAUACCCUGGUAGUCCAUGCCGUAAACGGUGGGCGCUAGGUGUGGGUUUCCUUCCACGGGAUCCGUGCCGUAGCUAACGCAUUAAGCGCCCCGCCUGGGGAGUACGGCCGCAAGGCUAAAACUCAAAGGAAUUGACGGGGGCCCGCACAAGCGGCGGAGCAUGUGGAUUAAUUCGAUGCAACGCGAAGAACCUUACCUGGGCUUGACAUAUACAGGAUCGCGCCAGAGAUGGUGUUUCCCUUGUGGCUUGUAUACAGGUGGUGCAUGGUUGUCGUCAGCUCGUGUCGUGAGAUGUUGGGUUAAGUCCCGCAACGAGCGCAACCCUUGUCUUAUGUUGCCAGCACGUUGUGGUGGGGACUCGUAAGAAACUGCCGGGGUUAACUCGGAGGAAGGUGGGGAUGACGUCAAAUCAUCAUGCCCCUUAUGUCCAGGGCUUCACACAUGCUACAAUGGUCGGUACAGUGGGUUGCCAGUCCGUGAGGGCGAGCUAAUCCCGCAAAGCCGGUCUCAGUUCGGAUCGGGGUCUGCAACUCGACCCCGUGAAGUCGGAGUCGCUAGUAAUCGCAGAUCAGCAACGCUGCGGUGAAUACGUUCCCGGGCCU
rnacentral:rRNA from 1 species